CGGUCAAACCGGACCGGUAAACCGGUCUAACCGGCCGGUUAGCCGUUCGAAACCGGUAUAACUACGGGUUUUGAAUUCAAAUUUGAGUUUGACCGGUUUUUACCGGUAACCGGUCAAACCGGACCGGUUAGCCGGAACCGGGCGCCGGCGGUUCGGUCCAAACGGUCGG